UACGGAGGGUGCAAGCGUUAAUCGGAUUUAUUGGGCGUAAAGGGCGCGUAGGCGGAAAUUGAAGUCAGGUGUGAAAUUUCGGGGCUCACCCCCGGAGCUGCAUUUGAAACUCUUUUUCUAGAGGGUAGGCGGAGAAAACGGAAUUCCACGUGUAGCGGUGAAAUGCGUAGAUAUGUGGAAGAACACCGGUGGCGAAGGCGGUUUUCUAGCUUAUUCCUGACGCUGAGGCGCGAAAGCAAGGGGAGCAAACAGG
rnacentral:misc_RNA from 1 species